UUAUGGAUGAUGCAAAAAAUCAGACGGAUUCCCACUGAUUUAUCUAAAUAUGAUUUUACUUAACAGUUAUUUCUGACUCUU